ACUGAUUCAAAUAAAAAGGGAAAAAAGCAUUUAUUCCGGUCAAUUUCGGGCAUAUUGAUGAGUCCAGAUCAGAUUCUGUCACUCUCAUUUUCAGCCAAAACAAGCUCAUGGGUUCUAUUCUGCUUCACUAUAUUAGUUGAGGUCUAGAGUCAAUAACAAGAACUCACCCCAAGAGUGGCUGAAUUAGCAGUUCAAGCAAAUUCAACUAAAGAAGAAGGCUUAUGCA
rnacentral:lncRNA from 1 species